CUGUGUGUUCCACUGCAUGUGCGUUCAGCAACAGUUCCUGACACGAUGCUAGGGGUGACAAGAGAAGUGCAACAUAAUCAACAGACAUCUCUCCAGGACAAAGCAAGAAAAACUCCUGAUAGAAGGCAACACUGAGAUUUGCUCUCCCUCUGAAGGUCACAGGCACUUCGAACAUCCAGCCCAGUGGUCUGAAAAAGAGGUUCAUUAAUAAUUAUUACGGCCCUACAUCGAGGAUACUGAGCUCAAGAUGUCAGUAGUGAACCACAGUGACAGCUCCAAAAAGCUGUGCCCCCACCACUCAGCUUCUAUUCUUCUUAAGAAAAUGAAUGAAAAGGCCAGCCUGAUGAAUCAGGAUGUUGAAAAAAAGGAGGAGGGGGAUUUCUAGGAAGGCAGAAGAAACAUCUAAGAAGAAACUAAUGAUGCUGGAUUGGCCUAGAUUUCAGCUUCAGUCUGUAUCACACAAACUCAUAUUGUUGUGGGUGGAUGGUUUACAAUUAAUGGCAGUCUGAGACACAAACAUGCCAAAAAGUGUGGGACAUUGAAAGAUGCUGAACUCGGAUGUUGAACCUUCUUCUAUGAGCCUACGGCAAACUGAUUGCUCCUGACCUCAUGUCUGCUCUCUGCAAGGAAUGAAUACAAAUAAAGUAUAUGUUACUAGGAAACUUAU